CGACCCUUUUAAGCCGAGGGUCACCUAGCCAACUGACGUUGUUAGUGAAUGAAUUUGUUCACAAUUGUAUAGCCAGCCGCACUCUAUAUUGCGACUGGCUUUUUUCUU
rfam:Vibrio nigripulchritudo str. SFn1 chromosome, complete genome.